GGAGAGGUGGCAGAGCGGUUGAAUGCGGCAGAUUCGAAAUCUGUUAUAGGGUCACACCUAUCGAGGGUUCGAAUCCCUCCCUCUCCG
rnacentral:tRNA from 3 species